AUUAAAUCUAUGAAAAACUUCCACUAAUUACAUACAAACCUAUAAAAGGUCCACAAAAUCUACAGAAGUCACCACUUAAAAAAGUUUCAAUUGAAUACACUCCUUUAAUAUGAUUUGUAUUGUUUUAACACGUCUAACCUUGCCUAAACUCGAUAGAACUAAAAUCCGCAGGGAACAAUCAACCGUCAAGAGAUAAAACUUCAUUUUCAAAUAGACGAAAAAAAAAUUCUUGUAGUUUUCUUCCACUUCACCAAAUACUCCAUAUGUGACUUAUUGUCCGGCGUGCUGCUCACUUGACGAUCUACUAGGAUUUCCUGAGCUUCGCGCUCCAGCAUAACGGUGACAUGAUCUGGAAUCUACGACCAUUCGAAAUUUUAUCAUUUGUCGGUUUUCUCCCUAUAAGGCCGCGAAAGCAUUCGAGAAGAUUCCUUUUUCCUCUUAGAAUCUGUAUUAUAUGAUGAUUGAUUGUUUCCUAUAGUCGGAGUAAGAUUAGUAAACCAUGUUCUAUGAAUAGGAGUCUUCUCAUUGUAUUUUCUUAACCUCAGUUUUAGAUAGUAUUGAUAUCUUGGGUAAGGCUUAGGAAUUAUCCUUCGUAAUCUCACAUGAUAUGAAUUUUUGUUGGGUUUGAUUGAUGAUUACACAAAUUUUCUUUAGUGUGAGAUAUCUAUUUCUACUCUAUAUAAUAUACAUAAACAAAAUAAUUUUUAUUCAAUCGUACAAAAAUAUUGUUAUGUGUAAAUAUAAUGAUAAAAUUGUUCGGCAGAUCCAUAGAUUCGAUAAUCAUGAUAAGAGUGACAAAUUCUUUCUCCUUUAUAUGACAUUAAUUUUAUAUGCAGGCAAGUAUCAAAUCAAGAUAAGGCAGGUAACAUUAUCCCAUCAAAUUUUUUCUCCAUUAUAAUUACGUAAAAUAAACUUUAUUCUUAAUAAAUUUGAUAAAGAUGACAUAAAUUUGAUAAUUUAUAUUCAUUUUUAUUCUAUCAGCUACUAUAUAUUCUACAAAAUCCUAUACAUUAGAUCAUAUUAUUUUAAAUCACCAAAUAUAUGUUUAUUUCAGUCUACACUGAAAUCGGCAGAUCCAGUUUCCUUGAAUAUUUUUUCGCCUCUAAUUUGAUCGCAUUUUCUCUUUAUUUCUAUGUACGGUAUCAAUUUAUUUUUCUUUAAAUCUGGACCAUAUAUUCUAAAAAGUAGAUCCUCUUUAGACAGUUACCUUUUGUCAUUUGUUCAGUUAAAAUCGCACUAAACCUGGAUGUGCAUAUGGUUAGGAUCCUGUCAUGUUUUGUUGGCUCGACAAACUUGACUUCUAAUCGAGGAAUUCUAAAAGUAUUUUGUUGAUAUAUUGAAACAGUUUUGAUGAACCUUAACUAUCCUCCUGUAUUGUCACAUAAUAGUUCGAUGGCGCUAGAAGCAUGUCAUGUGCCUCGAGAUUGAAUUUUCGAGGAGUAACAAAAAUACGAGCAUGUAAAUAGCACAUUCAGAACCAAGGUGAGGGACAGGUUGCCGACCGUACCACUAUUUUUUAUUUUUUUGGAUUAUAUAGAAGGUUUUCAUAAUCUUUUGAUAUAUACGUGCUAUAUACAUAUUUAUCCCUUCAAUAUUAUUUGCUCCCUUGUGUGAAAAUCCUAGACUCCGACACUAAUGAGAACUUGUGAUUUAUCAUUGAUGCUACCAAAAAAUCGUACAUGAAAGAUCUCGAAUUGAACGAUUGAACUCCGAACUUGGACGAACUUGAAUGAAUAUGAACGAUCUUCGAAUACCUGAAACAAAGGCAAUGAGAUGUGUGCUCUUUGCCCUUUCGAUGCUUAAGUCAUAUAGAGAAUUUAGUGCAUAAAGCUAUGAACUGAA
rnacentral:lncRNA from 1 species